UUUAUGACCAGAAGAAUCUCCACUUUCCCCGACACACCCUUUGCGGCACAGUACCUCAAUCUGCACCUACUCACCAACUGGCCAAACUUGGUCUUGGUUAUACCACCAGAGGAGGAAUGUCCAGGAUCCAACAUGGCGCCAGUCACCUAUGUGUCACUAAUUAAUUAAACAAAUUGAGAAGAAACCUGGGAAGGGAAAGGAGGCAGGAAGCAGAGAAAAACAAUCCUUAAAAUCUGUUUCCGAUACCAUCAGGGAAAUUGUGGAGAAAGCAAGGAAGGUUAGUCAUCACCUCUACUGUUUUCCUUUCAAUAACAUGUCCUCGCACAACUGGAUUAUUUCAUUAGAGUUGGGUUUCAUUCUUCCUGAAAAAUGAUACCCCUGGGAAGGAUGACAUAAUAGAAAGACUGAGUGGAGCAAGGUAGAUUUUGCAUGUUACUCACAACCAUGAAGCCUUCAGGGCCUGGCAUGUAGGAAAGACGUACUAGUUGUUGUUAGUUUAUUUAUUUAUUUACUACUAGUACUACUGCUGCUGCUACUACUACUACUACUACUACUACUGCUACUACUACUACUACUACUACUGCCACUGUCAUGAUUAUAGUCAGUAUGGACUAUAAGCUCCAUGAAGAUAGGAAUCUAUUCAUUGCAGUAUUUCCUAGCUUCACUUGGAAUGGAGCAAAAUGUCAAAGCUCA
rnacentral:lncRNA from 1 species